rnacentral:rRNA from 1 species
UACGUAGGGGGCGAGCGUUGUCCGGAUUUAUUGGGCGUAAAGAGCGUGUAGGCGGCUAGGCAGGUCCGUUGUGAAAACUCGAGGCUCAACCUCGAGACGUCGAUGGAAACCAUCUGGCUAGAGUCCGGAAGAGGAGAGUGGAAUUCCUGGUGUAGCGGUGAAAUGCGCAGAUAUCAGGAAGAACACCUAUGGCGAAGGCAGCUCUCUGGGACGGUACUGACGCUGAGGCGCGAAAGCGUGGGGAGCGAACAGG